AGGAAAUCGGUGCCUCUGCCACGGACAGAGGGUAAAAGGGAAACAGGUGAGAGUCCUGUGCGAUCCCGUCACUGUAUUUGGGGAGCAGGGCGCGUGCGCGCUGCGCGGUCACUGGCGAGAGCCGGGAAGGCUGCCGCUCUGUGGAUCCAUAAGUCAGGAAACCUGCCGGUUUC
rnacentral:ncRNA from 1 species